rfam:Papio anubis isolate 1X1155 chromosome 5, whole genome shotgun sequence.
AGCAGUUACUACCCUGCUCGCUCUGACAGCACGUAUACUAGAGAAGAUUAGCAUGGACCCUGUGCAAGGAUGACACGCAAAUUCAUGAACCAUUCCAUAUUUUU